AGGAAACUGUUUAGUCCAACC
rnacentral:miRNA from 2 species